rnacentral:rRNA from 1 species
AUGAAUGAAUUUGACUACAUAAUACGGGAAGCUAGGGAAAUCAUUGAUUUCUAUGGCAUGAAUCGUGAAAAUCCCGUGAUUGAUGAAAUUCUUUAUGAUAGUGAUUAUGCGUUGAGACAUUUUCUUGGAGAUAACCAAAUAAUUCAUGAAAAUCUUAAAAAGCAAGUUCCCGUUUUAUAUAUCAUCCAACAAGUUUUCAAUGAUGUUAAUCAACACUAUUCUUGGACUGCUGCUGGAAAUCAAAAGGGUUAUGAUAAAAAGAAACUUGAUAGUGCUAAGGUUUCCAUGGACAAUGUGUUGUAUGUUUUAUUUGCAAAAACCCCUGACACAAAUACCUCCAAGGAAAACAAGGCUAAAGAUGACAAAACUUAG